GACGAACGCUGGCGGCGUGCUUAACACAUGCAAGUCGAACGGUGAAGCACCUUCCUUUUGGUGGGUGUGGAUGAGUGGCGAACGGGUGAGUAACACGUGAGUAACCUGCCCCCUUCUUCUGGAUAACCGCAUGAAAGUGUGGCUAAUACGGGAUAUUCUGCGCCUGCUGCAUGGUGGGUGUGGGAAAGAUAUUGUUUCGGUGGGGGAUGGGCUCGCGGCCUAUCAGCUUGUUGGUGGGGUGAUGGCCUACCAAGGCGGUGACGGGUAGCCGGCCUGAGAGGGUGGACGGUCACACUGGGACUGAGACACGGCCCAGACUCCUACGGGAGGCAGCAGUGGGGAAUAUUGCACAAUGGGCGCAAGCCUGAUGCAGCGACGCCGCGUGGGGGAUGGAGGCCUUCGGGUUGUAAACCUCUUUCGCCAGUGAAGCAGGCCUGUCCCUUGUGGGUGGGUUGAGCG
rnacentral:rRNA from 1 species